AUGUUGGAUGAUGUUGUGGAGAGGGCCACUGAGAGGGAGUUUGCAUUGCCAAAGUCGAAGGUGGCCAUCGCCUUGACCUGCCCUGACCUCCUGACCUUUCACAACGCUCAAACAGGAAACACAUGUUGGAGGAGGAAGCUCAAGUCUCUCAACACGCGGAUGGAUGAUGUUGUGGAGAGGGCCAUCGAGAGGGGGUUUGCAUUGCCAAAGUCGAAGGUGGCCAUCGCCUUGACCUGCCUGGACCUCCUGACCUUUCACAACACUCAAACAGGAAACACAUGUUGGAGGAGGAGACCACAAGCUAAUUGA
rnacentral:rRNA from 1 species